CAGCACGAAUAAGUGGAGAUAAUAUACAAAAUUAUUCACUGAUAAUAUAAACCUACUAACUAUUACGGAACUGCUUGUUUCUCGGUUGGCCGCGCCGGCUCGCUCAUCGGUUUCCCUGGGUGUAGUCCCAUCCCUGGCCCGCAGUCCGCACAAUCGAUAACAACAAAGCUACAACUUCUGUACACAACACUAUGCAAAACGAACCAUAAAUCGAUAACAUCUAACAUCUAACACUUCUAAUAAAUGAACAUCGUAAAAAGCUUUGACGACAAGAAAUGUAAACCAACAAAGCAGUUAUUUACGAUCUCCUGCAUGCAGAACUUUCGUUAACUUCACAGGUAUCUCUGCAGGUUAUCUAACUGCAGCCAUUUACGUUCUUAUGCACGUGGACGUUUCUUCACCAGAAUAAAUACUGUCAAAAAUCGAAAACACUGUCAAAGUUACUGUUGGAUUCUGCAGCAGCCGCAGCAAAUCAGCAUAAGCAAACAUUCAUGUAAACAUAAGAAGAGGUCGAAAUCUUAGUCUAGCGAAACAGCUGUUUAUUAUGAACAAAGUUGGCAGGCCUCUCUUGCUCUUGUCGCAGCUUCUAUAAACUGGCAUAUUCCCUUUAUCAGCUCAGUUCGUUGUUGAUCGAGGCGAAGCGAUGAACUAUUUCUGAGCCAUAGCCAAAUAACCUUGAAAUUUAUAUAAAUUCGAUCAAAUAAACUUAAUCAUAGCGU